CAGUAGCCACGGGAAUACAGAGGGUGCAAGCGUUAAUCGGAAUUACUGGGCGUAAAGCGCGCGUAGGUGGUUCGCCAAGUUGGAUGUGAAAUCCCCGGGCUCAACCUGGGAACUGCAUCCAAAACUGGCGAGCUAGAGUAUGGUAGAGGGUGGUGGAAUUUCCUGUGUAGCGGUGAAAUGCGUAGAUAUAGGAAGGAACAUCAGUGGCGAAGGCGACCACCUGGACUGAUACUGACACUGAGGUGCGAAAGCGUGGGGAGCAAACAGGAUUAGAUACCCCUGUAGUCCCUGUCUCUAUACA
rnacentral:rRNA from 1 species